AUGCACUUCUCACCCUGUCAGAUCAGCACCUGUUGUGCCCAAGAUUGCGAAUGCGAGAAAACCGCCAAGGAGCCGAGGCCGAUGCAAGUACAUGAGGGUUUAUUGAGAAGCUCGAGCUUGGGUCCAAGUACACCCGACACAGCGGAGCAGGGACUUGGAACCUGAGGUUAUUGACUACUGCUGAUGGAUGAGGCGAAAUACUCACAGUGCCAGGAAGAAAUGAAUUCGCUGGUACUGCCAGGAGAAGAGACCAGCGCGGCUAAAAUAGGCGAUGACCAUGGACAAGAGAUACUGGCGGAAAGAGGAGAAAAGCCGUCAUAGAAGGGUCCCAUCCUGGGAGAGGAAGACCAGUGAGUGGCAUCGGGGUACAAAGAUGGCCUGUCCUCCCCUCCCCGCCCCCGCCCCGACACAGCCGAAGGCACUUAGAUUCAAAAGGCCAGUAAGCGCUAAGAUGUCUCAGGAGUGCAACUGCAGCUAAGCUUUCUCAUCCCUCUGUCAUUUUUAAGUGUCCCCGAUGAGGGGUCAGUAUGGAGUCCUCCAAGGAUGGAGAGAGAGAGCUCAGCGACCUGCAAAGAAUUAUUUUCCAUUGGAAAAGCGUCGCCGUUGGAAGUUUCUGGUGUUUUCAGGAAAAAAGAAUAAGGUUGGAGGGUGCUGUUCCUACCGAGCAGCCUGUUGAACGCCUCGUGGUGCUCAGGGAGCACUGAAGAUAGCCGCUGUCUCUUCAGCUUCAUCUUGAGGCCACUCAGUGUCUCCACCACCCAGAUGUCGUUGGCCUCAGGGGCUGUCUCCUCAUCGGAUUCGAUGUCUCUCUUCCUUCCGCGGGACUGAGGCAAGGGGCAGGGGUCUACAAAGGGGGCUGAGUGAAGAAACCAGGCUACAGUACAAAGCUUCUUCUGUCUUUGGAAUUCAGCCACGCUUUCCACACCCCCAAACCCAAACUCCCUCUUCAUUUCUCUGUGGCCUCAUAGAUGAUUGGCCUCUCCAAAACCACCUUUCAUCUUUGUCCUUCAUUCAUAUGCAUUUGCCCCCAUUCAUCUUUGCCACUGUUUCAUACCCCCCACCACGCCCUCAAAACUCUUCCUCGUAGAUCAUUUCUCCCAUGAGGAUAAUGGGAUAAUUUCCUGUCUUCCUUUAUCUCCUCUUUGGAUGUCAUCUCCUAACCCUCCUUCCUUGCUUCCUGGGUUUUCCUUCCAGUGCGAUACCCUUGUCCCCGGCUCCCGUGCUCUCUUCUCCAACCCCUGGCUUUCUGAAUCUCUCCUGUCACGUGCAGUCUAGUCAGACACACCUUCCUGGCUUCUGUACCCAUUUGUACUCACUAGUCAAGCCUGUCAAGUCCCUUCUCCCUCCUGCUUCCUCACCUGAUGGUCCUGGGCUUUCUUCAUCUACCACGGCCUCCGGGGGGUACCCUGAUGUGCUAGGCUGGGGGCUCUGGCCCUCAGACUGGGCGGACGGUUGACAACUGGCCAUGAUUUCUCCCAAGCUCUUUGUGCCCUCCCAGGAGACUCAGACCCUCCUCUUCUCAAACUCCCCUUCUGGCUUCUGGGUGAACCCAAGCCCUGUUAUCCCUUCUCUAAGCCGGGGCCAAGCUAGGAGUAUGGACAUGCUCUGCGAAGAUGCUCUUGUCCACCUCCGUUGCCAAGAACCAUGGAGUCCAGUCUUUCCAAUCAGGAAGGUCAGAAGCCUCUGAUGUCAUGCACCAUUCCAGCCUGGCAGCCAUUUUGAAGGAAGACACGUGCAACUGCGAGACCGAGGUCCACUUCUGGAGUUCAGGAUCAAGGCUAUCUCAUGUCGCCGAUCCAGCCUGCAACCGUCCUCCAAAACUGUCCUCGGGGUGUCUGGAUCACUCUACUCCUCUCCAGCAGAUGCGGGGCUCUCUGCAUCCUUCUAUUCCUGUUUCACGGUGCAGUCUGGCAGCAGAGGGAGGAAACAGACGAGGGAAGACCUAGAGACACCCUAGGAAGACGGCUUGCAGUGCUAACUCACAGAACAGAAUUCUGGGAUGGGGAGACGGGAAGAGGUUCUGGAUACCGACUUCGAAGAUCUGGUGUCUGAAGCUCAGUGUUAAAGGGAAAAUUUGGACGCAAACAUCCAAGUACAGAGAAGAGAAUGGGAUGACACAGGGAGAGAAGACUGACAUCUACCAGCCAGGGCGGGAGGAUGCAACAGCCCCUCCCCCACAGCACUCAGAAGGAACCAGCCCUGCCCACACCUGAAUCUCAGACUCCCAGCCUCCAGAACAGUGAGAGAAUGUAUUUUUGUCGUGCCCACACCUGAAUCUCAGACUCCCAGCCUCCAGAACAGUGAGAGAAUAUACGUUUGUCGUGACAGCCUGAAAGCUGCCUGGUUUGUCUUACUUUGUUACAGCUUCCCUGUAGGCAGAUCCACACAGUAUUUUUGAAGAAGAGGGAAUUCAGAUUUGACAGUCACUUUCCUGAUACUUCUGCUGCCCCUUUCCCCAAAGCAAGACGCGUCCAUGUCGGGAGGCUUCAAAGAAUGGGUUCUUUCACACAGAUUAGAACCUUGAGCUUUCUUAGCCUCUGGCAUUUCCUGGUCAAGGUGACUGUUCAUUUUGGAAAACAUGGUGGAAAGACUUCAAGAGAAGAAUGAUUUACAAAUCUUGAAGAUGGGUGUCAGUUAGCUUAAUAAAACUGAUGCAUUAAAGAGAGAAAAAUAAACGGGAGCAAACCGAGGCAACUACUUAGGAAAUUAAGGGUGGGAAAGGCUUCUUCAAAGACAGUGUCUAAACAGAUGAAAAGUAUGAAGAGGAAGUGAACGAUUUGAACACAGAAACAAUAUCCAUAUGACAGAAAAUAAAGUAAAACAUUAGGUUAAAAAGA